rnacentral:lncRNA from 1 species
GUCACGGGUUCGGACACCGACGCAACCGGUGUCGACGAGGACUUCCUGACGAAGCUGGCGGAGGAGGCCGCCUUCCUUGUCAGUGGCGACAUCUCCCAAAUACGCCACCACGGCCCGCUCCUCCUGCUGGAGCACGUCUUUUGGGAACUGGGAAUCCACACGGAGAAUGACGUCACGCGUCUCCUAAAAUUCGCCCGACGUCACCUCGCAUCUCGCCCUCGACCAGCGCAGCCGCCUCUAAGGCAGAGGGAGGAUGCCCAGGCUGAUGGUUAUGACGCAGAAGCUGACGAGGGCAUAUCAGG